GUGGGGAAUAUUGGGCAAUGGGCGAAAGCCUGACCCAGCAACGCCGCGUGAGGGAAGAAGGCCUUCGGGUUGUAAACCUCUGUCCUUGGUGACGAAGAAAGUGACGGUAGCCAAGGAGGAAGCCCCGGCUAACUACGUGCCAGCAGCCGCGGUAAUACGUAGGGGGCGAGCGUUGUCCGGAAUUACUGGGCGUAAAGGGUGCGUAGGUGGCCUUUUAAGUUGGAUGUGAAAUACCCGGGCUUAACUUGGGGGGUGCAUCUAAUACUGGGAGGCUAGAGUGCAGGAGAGGGAAGCGGAAUUCCUAGUGUAGCGGUGAAAUGCGUAGAUAUUAGGAGGAACACCAGUGGCGAAGGCGGCUUUCUGGACUGUAACUGACACUGAGGCACGAAAGCGUGGGGAGCAAACAGGAUUAGAUACCCGGGUAGUCC
rnacentral:rRNA from 1 species